rnacentral:rRNA from 1 species
AACCCAGUGCUUGCACUGGGGGUUGUAGGACUGCAAUGUGCAAGAGGUGAGUUUAGCAGAACAUUCUGGAAAGUAUAGCCAUAGAGGGUGAUAGUCCCGUAUGCGAAAAACAAACCUUAGCUAGCAGUAUCCUGAGUAGGGCGGGACACGAGAAAUCCUGUCUGAAGCUGGGUCGACCACGAUCCAACCCUAAAUACUAAUACCAGAUCGAUAGUGCACAAGUACCGUGAGGGAAAGGUGAAAAGAACUGAGGUGAUCAGAGUGAAAUAGAACCUGAAACCAUUUGCUUACAAUCAUUCAGAGCCCUAUGUAGCAAUACAGGGUGAUGGACUGCCUUUUGCAUAAUGAGCCUGCGAGUUGUGGUGUCUGGCAAGGUUAAGCAAACGCGAAGCCGUAGCGAAAGCGAGUCUGAAUAGGGCGCUUAGUCAGAUGCUGCAGACCCGAAACGAAGUGAUCUAUCCAUGAGCAAGUUGAAGCUAGUGUAAGAACUAGUGGAGGACUGAACCCAUAGGCGUUGAAAAGCCCCGGGAUGACUUGUGGAUAGGGGUGAAAGGCCAAUCAAACUUCGUGAUAGCUGGUUCUCUCCGAAAUAUAUUUAGGUAUAGCGUUGUGUCGUAAUAUAAGGGGGUAGAGCACUGAAUGGGCUAGGGCAUACACCAAUGUACCAAACCCUAUCAAACUCCGAAUACCUUAUAUGUAAUCACAGCAGUCAGGCGGCGAGUGAUAAAAUCCGUCGUCAAGAGGGAAACAACCCAGACUACCAGCUAAGGUCCCUAAAUCUUACUUAAGUGGAAAACGAUGUGAAGUUACUUAAACAACCAGGAGGUUGGCUUAGAAGCAGCCAUCCUUUAAAGAAAGCGUAAUAGCUCACUGGUCUAGUGAUUUUGCGCGGAAAAUAUAACGGGGCUAAAGUAAGUACCGAAGCUGUAGACUUGCGCACAACUUAGAUUAUUUAAGUUUAGAAUAUGAGAAACUAAGUUAUAUGUUUAGUUAUAUUUUUACUGAUUUUUAUAGAGUAAAGAUAGAAAUAAAACUUAGUAAAAUCAGUAAAAAUAUUCUUAGACUAAAGUUAAGUAGUUUAAGUUGUGUGCAAGUGGUAGGAGAGCGUUCUAUUUGCGUCGAAGGUAUACCGGUAAGGAGUGCUGGAGCGAAUAGAAGUGAGCAUGCAGGCAUGAGUAGCGAUAAUUAAUGUGAGAAUCAUUAACGCCGUAAACCCAAGGUUUCCUACGCGAUGCUCGUCAUCGUAGGGUUAGUCGGGUCCUAAGUCGAGUCCGAAAGGGGUAGACGAUGGCAAAUUGGUUAAUAUUCCAAUACCAACAUUAGUGUGCGAUGGAAGGACGCUUAGGGCUAAGGGGGCUAGCGGAUGGAAGUGCUAGUCUAAGGUCGUAGGAGGUUAUACAGGCAAAUCCGUAUAACAAUACUCCGAGAACUGAAAGGCUUUUUGAAGUCUUCGGAUGGAUAGAAGAACCCCUGAUGCCGUCGAGCCAAGAAAAGUUUCUAAGUUUAGCUAAUGUUGCCCGUACCGUAAACCGACACAGGUGGGUGGGAUGAGUAUUCUAAGGCGCGUGGAAGAACUCUCUUUAAGGAACUCUGCAAAAUAGCACCGUA